UUGUUCGUAGGUGACCUGCGGAGGUCAUUACAGAAAGUAAACGCGGAUCAAACCGCGAACUUCUAAACCUUUGACGAUUGACUCAUGUUGCCUCGGCGGGUGCUCCCGCCAGAGGAUACAUCAAAACUCCUGUUUUAACGGUGUUGUCUGAGCUACAAGCAACGAAUCAAAACUUUCAACAACGGAUCUCUUGGUUCUGGCAUCGAUGAAGAACGCAGCGAAAUGCGAUAAGUAGUGUGAAUUGCAGAAUUCAGUGAAUCAUCGAAUCUUUGAACGCACAUUGCGCCCCUUGGUAUCCCGAGGGGCAUGCCUGUUCGAGCGUCAUUUCACCACUCAAGCCUGGCUUGGUGUUGGGCGACGUCCCCUUUGGGGACGCGCCUCGAAACGCUCGGCGGCGUGGCACCGGCUUUAAGCGUAGCAGAAUCUUUCGCUUUGAAAGUCGGGGCCCCGUCUGCCGGAAGACCUACUCGCAAGGUUGACCUCGGAUCAGGCAGGGAUACCCGCUGAACUUAAGCAUAUCAAUAAGCGGAGGACGCUCACAAUGGUCUUCGGACAACUUCAUAUCAAAUUUGACCUCAAAUCAGGUAGGACUACCCGCUGAACUUUAAGCAUAUCAAUAAGCGGGAGGAAAUGCG
rnacentral:rRNA from 1 species